GACGAACGCUGGCGGCGUGCUUAACACAUGCAAGUCGAACGGAAAGGCCCUGCUUUUGUGGGGUGCUCGAGUGGCGAACGGGUGAGUAACACGUGAGUAACCUGCCCUUGACUUUGGGAUAACCUCAGGGAACUGGGGCUAAUACCGGAUAGGAGCUCCUGCUGCAUGGUGGGGGUUGGAAAGUUUCGGCGGUUGGGGAUGGACUCGCGGCUUAUCAGCUUGUUGGUGGGGUAGUGGCUUACCAAGGCUUUGACGGGUAGCCGGCCUGAGAGGGUGACCGGCCACAUUGGGACUGAGAUACGGCCCAGACUCCUACGGGAGGCAGCAGUGGGGAAUAUUGCACAAUGGGCGGAAGCCUGAUGCAGCAACGCCGCGUGCGGGAUGACGGCCUUCGGGUUGUAAACCGCUUUCGCCUGUGACGAAGCGUGAGUGACGGUAAUGGGUAAAGAAGCACCGGCUAACUACGUG
rnacentral:rRNA from 1 species